GAUGAACGCUGGCGGCGUGCCUAAUACAUGCAAGUCGAGCGAACAGAUGAGGAGCUUGCUCCUCUGACGUUAGCGGCGGACGGGUGAGUAACACGUGGAUAACCUACCUAUCAGACUGGGAUAACUUCGGGAAACCGGAGCUAAUACCGGAUAAUAUAUUGAACCGCAUGGUUCAAUAGUGAAAGACGGUUUUGCUGUCACUUAUAGAUGGAUCCGCGCCGCAUUAGCUAGUUGGUAAGGUCACGGCUUACCAAGGCAACGAUGCGUAGCCGACCGGAGAGGGUGAUAGGCGACACUGGAACGGGGCCGCGGUCCAGACUCCUACGGGAGGCAGCAGUAGGGAAUCUUCCGCAAUGGGCGAAAGCCUGACGGAGCAACGCCGCGUGAGUGAUGAAGGUCUUCGGAUCGUAAAACUCGGUUAUUAGGGAAGAACAAAUGUGUAAGUAACUAUGCACGGCUUGACGGUACCUAAUAAGAAAGCCACGGCUAACUACGUG
rnacentral:rRNA from 1 species